ACCUCACAGAAAACACAAAUGUUGCUGUUUAAGGGAGAGUGGCCUGGACUGUGAAGAGAUUUAAUCCUGGACCCUGUGGCCACAUGCACGGCACUUGAGCUGAGUUCCCUGUGUCAGUGUACUAAUUCCACUAAACAUUUAUUUAUUUGUGGGUGCAGGUGUGGCAGCGCACUCAUGAAGAGGUGCCUUGGAGCAUGUGUGAAGUUCAGAAGACAACUUUCUGGAGUUCUCUCCUGCUACCAUGUGGGGUCCAGGAACUGAACGUGGGUCCUUGGGUUUGGCAGCAGAUGUCUCUACCGGUAGAGCCGUGUCACCAGCCCUAACUCCUGCCUCUAAUAUUCUUUCCAAAACACCGGUGCUGGGGAAGACCUGCGUUGCCGAGCUUGGGGAGCAGUGAGGGAGCAGUGCCGCAUUGCUGGCCUUCUGCAUUAAAUGCAGUCCAGAGAAACCAUUUCUACCCAACCCCAGAACAAGUUGUUCCUCCAAAAGGAGCACAGGAAACUGGUUCGCUCAUCUUAAUUACUGUUUAAAAUCUAAAUUGCUGCUCCAAUAAACUGGACAUCAAUGAAUGUACUCAACUUGUGUUUCAGCCCAGGGCAGAUGGCUAAUUCUGCUGCUGAGCUGAGCUGAAACCCAGAGAUGAAAGGCUGGAGCCAAGAGCCUGACACUCUGAGGGGGAAUGGAAGCCAUAUUUCCAUCUCAGAUGAUAGAUGCUGUUCUGACCCCAUGGCGCUGAUUGCGAGCCUUUUUGAGUACAAAACACUUCCUUUGUUCUGCCUUCCUGGCAACUGUCUAAUCAUGUUCUAUUCAUAGAAAUUAGAGCAGAAUCUUCUUGUUUCUCACAUAUCGAAUAAGAUAAUGCACAGGGAAGUCAAGUUCUGGGAACAAAUAAUUGAAUUGUAAGCCUCCCACAGGCUGUGAGAUCAUGAGGCCUGUUGGAGGCUAGGUGUGUGGGCAGAGGGCCGUCAACCUGCCACAUCUCCAAAUAAUUUUGUCCUCGACCCACAGCCUGGACAUCAAUAAAAUGCUAGGCUAAUUUUAAGAGCUUAAUGGAAAGACGUUGACAUUCAUCAAGUAUCUUUCACAUGCAUUAUUUUAUCGGAGCCCUACUGUGGCCCUGUAAUGGAUGACGUUCCAUUAACUUCACUUUAUGGACGGGGCACUGAGGCAGGGAGGAGAGACAAUUACCACUGCAUGUCCAGCCGGGAAGGUGCUGGGUCCUUUCUCUUGCACAGCUUUUUUUCUGCUUUUCAAAACAAUCCAGCUGCCACGGUACUACCGUCCUCCUGGCUCCCUAUACAGCUGACCAUGGUCAAGUAUGCUAAAGCCACCGUGUGUAAACAUCCCGAGCUCUUGAGGCUGUAGCAUCGGCUGAAGGCCAGGCAAGGUGCACUGUAGUCAUUAUGCAGGAAGAAUGGCUCAGCCUCACACCUCUGGUCUUUCUUCAUCCUUGAGGGCUCUAGGUACCGCCAAAGCCUGGCUAGAAUGGGGUAGACACAGAUAUAAACUUUUUGUUUUGUUUUUCAAGAAGGCAGAUUUUUUUUUAAUUUAAAAAAAUUUAAAAAAAAUAAGUAAAUGGCUGGGGUUGUAUCUCAGAGGAGUGGAGGAUGUAUUUGAUCAGCGUACAUUAUAUGAAAUUCUCCAAGAACUAAUAAAACUGUUUUUUUAAAAAUAGGAGGCUGGGGAGAGGGCUCAGGGGGAAGAGCACUCCUGUUCAAGCGUGAGGACCCGAGUUCAGAUCUCCAAUACGUAGGCAAAAGUAUCCCAGGAGUUUAUAGUCCAACCUCAUUUUCAACCCACAGCUCAGAGUUCCAGUGCCAACCCAGAUCCCUAACCUCCAGCUCGUGUGUCCUGCCUCUCCCAUCUUGGGCACACACUGGAGUAGACAUCUCAGAACGCCAUUCUGUUACGGGUGAGAUACGGUACUGGUGUCAAUGGGCUGUCCCACAUUCAGUUGACAUCUGCAUUAUUGAUUUCCUAGGGCUGUGACAAGGUAACGCCAAGUGAGUAGAUUAAAUAGCAGAAAUGUCCUGUCUCGCAGUCCUGGAAGAGAGAAAGCCGAGAGAAAUGUGCUGGCGGGAUCAUUUCCUCAAAGGCUGUGAAAGAAAACCUGUGCCCUGUCAUUCUCCCUGCCUUUGAUGCUCCCUGGCUUCUGCUGCCUUGGCCAAAUCUGCUUCAUCUCCACAGUCUCCUUAUACCAGUGUGUGCUGGCUAGUCUUACGUCAGCUUGGCACCCAAACUAGAAGCAAGCAGGGUAUCUUAAUGGAGAAGAUGCCUCUGUAACAUCUGGCUGUAGGUAUUUUCUCAAUUAUUUAUUGAUGGGGAGGAUCCAGCCCAUUGUAGGUGGUGCCAAUCCCUGGGCUGGUGAUCCUAUGUUCUAUAAGAAAACAGGCUGAGCAGGCCAUAGGGAAGCAAGCCAGUCAGCAGCACCCUUCCAUGGCCUCUGCAUUAGUUCCUGCCUCCAGACUUCUGACCUAUUUGAGUUCCUGUCACGACUUCCUUCGACGAAGAACAGCAAUAUGGAAGCGUAAACUAAAUAAACUCAAUCCUCCUCAA